GACGAACCGUCCAAACGUUAUUCGGAAUUACUGGGCUUAAAGGGUGCGUAGGCGGCGCGGAAAGUUGGGUGUGAAAUCCCUCGGCUCAACCGAGGAACUGCGCCCAAUACUACCGUGCUUGAGGGAGAUAGAGGUGAGCGGAACUUAGGGUGGAGCGGUGAAAUGCGUUGAUAUCCUAAGGAACACCGGUGGCGAAAGCGGCUCACUGGAUCUCUUCUGACGCUGAGGCACGAAAGCUAGGGUAGCGAAC
rnacentral:rRNA from 1 species